CCAGCCGCCGCCGCCUGUCCUCUUGCACCUCGGGAUCUCCUCCCGAUCCAACCAGCAACUGCCUCCACCCUCUUCCCUUGAUUUCCCAUUGCUCCAAUCACCAACUCCCUCUGUCCUCCCUGGACGCGUCCCGUCCACCCAACCGGCGCCCGCGCCCGAGCAGCUGCCUCAACCAUGGCUGCGUGUCCCCGACGGCAGCAUCUCCAGCCGCAGCUCCACGCCACCGGAGCGCCACGCCAGGACUCCCUCGCCCUUUCCCUUUCCUUCUUCCCUCUGUUUCCAUCUCCAUCAUCUCAUCUCUAUCUUCCUCUGUGUCUUCUCGCAGCAUCUCCAGUCAGCCUUGGCCUCGUCACCGUGCCGCUCCGGUGACCCAGUCCCCACGACCCCACGCCACAGCCUCCCCAAGCUCUGCUCCACCCCGCCUUGGUUCCAUGAGGAGACGACCACGCCGUCCGCCCUUCCCCAUCUCGAUCGGAUCCAAGUCCCCGCCGCCUCCAGCCACCUCUCCACGGUCAUGGCACCGCUGGAGGUUCCUUGCCCCGAGCCUCUGCCAUGACCAGCACCCGACCCGUAGGUCGCCAGCGCGCCCGAUGCCUCCUCCUCGGUCACGCCACCGGACCCCGCAGACAACUGCUCCAUAGUCGCCCGUCAAGUUCGCGCCCCAGCCUCGAUCUGGACCGGAUCUCCUCUGCUCCGCCGCCUAGCCACCAAAUCCGCCCCGUUCCGGCCGGUUCCCACCGAUCCCGUUGCUAGGACCCCUGCCGUCGUCUUCUGCAUCGCCUGCUGCUGCUUUUGUUCUUCAGAAACGAGCAGCACCAGCCCGCCCGCUCGCCCGCGCCAUUGACCCGUCGCCCUGCUAAGGGGGCCAGCGCCUCCCCAAGGCCCAGCGCCCCUUCCAGCCUCCCUCUCCACCGACUGGGCCUCAGCCUAUGCUUUGGUUUCGUUCCGGAGUUGUGAGGAUUCGUUCGACUACAUCCGAUUGUCUUCUUCAU